GCAGAGGUGGGGCGAACGAGCCCGCAGUGUGCCCGGGUGGCCAGGAAGGCCAGCGGCGUCCUGGCCUGUAUCAGGAGCAGUGUGGGCAGCAGGACUGGGGAAGUGAUCAUCCCCCGGUACUCGGCACUGUAGGUGAACUAGCUCUCGAGGGACAUCUGAGUCUUGGGCCAAGAGCUCCCUAAUGACCUCUACAUUCACAAACUUUCUAAGAGUAGCAAAAGCACCGUGGGCUUCAGUCAGCUGAGAAGACACGCAGGGUUUUGGAGGCACCGAGGUGUGCACCACUGCGGCGACUGCACCGACAUCACUAAUAGAAUAAAAA